rnacentral:rRNA from 1 species
AGUGAACGCUGGCGGUAGGCCUAACACAUGCAAGUCGAACGGCAGCACAGUAAGAGCUUGCUCUUACGGGUGGCGAGUGGCGGACGGGUGAGGAAUACAUCGGAAUCUACUUUUUCGUGGGGGAUAACGUAGGGAAACUUACGCUAAUACCGCAUACGACCUACGGGUGAAAGCAGGGGAUCCUCGGACCUUGCGCGAUUGAGUGAGCCGAUGUCGGAUUAGCUAGUUGGCGGGGUAAAGGCCCACCAAGGCGACGAUCCGUAGCUGGUCUGAGAGGAUGAUCAGCCACACUGGAACUGAGACACGGUCCAGACUCCUACGGGAGGCAGCAGUGGGGAAUAUUGGACAAUGGGCGCAAGCCUGAUCCAGCCAUACCGCGUGGGUGAAGAAGGCCUUCGGGUUGUAAAGCCCUUUUGUUGGGAAAGAAAAGCAGCAGGUUAAUACCCCGCUGUUCUGACGGUACCCAAAGAAUAAGCACCGGCUAACUUCGUG